rnacentral:rRNA from 1 species
GACGAACCGUGCGAACGUUGUUCGGAUUCACUGGGCUUAAAGGGCGCGUAGGCGGGCUAGCAAGUCAGGGGUGAAAUCUUUCGGCUCAACCGGAAAAGUGCUCCUGAUACUGUUAGUCUUGAGGGAGGUAGGGGCAUGUGGAACUUCCGGUGGAGCGGUGAAAUGCGUAGAUAUCGGAAGGAACGCCGGUGGCGAAAGCGACGUGCUGGAUCUCUUCUGACGCUGAGGCGCGAAAGCCAGGGUAG